rnacentral:piRNA from 1 species
UAGAUUAGAGGGUAUUCUUCCUGUUUUCC